CUAAGUAUUUAGGUACACAGCUAAAGUAAAAGCGUGCGUCAUACUUUAUGUUAUAAUAUUAUUAUAUUCGUGUACACGACGCGGCGACGCGGCGACGGUCACAGAAAGAUGAUUGUAAAAAUAUUAAUAAAGUCUCUAGCGCGUAGUUCGGAAGUGCAAACAUGUGUGAUCGUACUGGUAUAUUUACAUAUGUACACAUGUUGUAGUGGAUAUUAGAAAUGCGUACUUUGUCAAGACAAUGGAAUUGGAAUUCUAUUGAAUGUGUCUGCGUUGAGCUGGUAAUGAACUGAACUCAUAUAAGAUCGAGGGAUGAAAAGCUGAAAAGUUGAAGCGGCAUUUCGCUUAACACGCUACAUUUAUCUUUGCAAUUAAAGUUACCAGCGGAUUCCUGCUACUGCUCGCACACUGCCGCUACGUGCUGGGGAUGUACCCGAGCGCCCCCUACCUUGCUUUGAUCACAUCGCGACAAAACCCUUUCCCAAUGUACAAAGUUUUAACUCAAUCGGACAAUAAUCUUAGAUGACAAUUCAAGUGUAUAAAUGUCAAUAAAUGUAUUAGCUGAA